rnacentral:rRNA from 1 species
CCUACGGGCGGCUGCAGUAGGGAAUCUUCGGCAAUGGGGGCAACCCUGACCGAGCAACGCCGCGUGAGUGAAGAAGGUUUUCGGAUCGUAAAACUCUGUUGUUAGAGAAGAACGUUAAGUAGAGUGGAAAAUUACUUAAGUGACGGUAUCUAACCAGAAAGGGACGGCUAACUACGUGCCAGCAGACGCGGUAAUACGUAGGUCCCAAGCGUUGUCCGGAUUUAUUGGGCGUAAAGCGAGCGCAGGUGGUUUCGUAAGUCUGAUGUAAAAGGCAGUGGCUCAACCAUUGUGUGCAUUGGAAACUGGGAGCCGUGGGUGCAGGAGGGGGGAGUGGAAUUCCAGGUGUAGCGUUGAAAUGCGUAGAUAUAUGGGGGAACACCGGGGGCGAAAGCGGCUCUCUGGCCUGUAACUGACACUGAGGCUCGAAAGCUUGGGGAGCAAACAGGAUUAGAUACCCUUGUAUUC